GAUGAGGGUGAUUGUGGUGGGCACCUAUGUGUGUGUGUGACACAAGUGUAGGGUGGAGGUGGUGGGCACCUAUGUGUGUGUGUGUGACACAAGCGUGAGUUGAUAAUGAUGGGAAUAAUAAAAACAUAAGGAGUCUGCAAGAAUUAAGCAAAUAGGCCUAUAGCAAGGCAGCUCCUGUAAACCUAACUCCACCUAAUUGCACUAUUUAUGAAUUUAUCUGCUAAUUUCUUCUUAAAUGUAUCUAUUGCAUACUGGCACUCACAAGGUGGGGUGUUGGUGGUGGGUACCUGUGUGUGACCAGUGGUGGGGUGAUGGUAAAGGGAAAUGUGAGUGUGACAAUCAGUGGUGGGGUGAUGGUGAUGGCCAGCACAGGUGUGACACAGUGGUGGGGUGAUGGUGAUGGCCAGCACAGGUGUGACACAGUGGUGGGGUGAUGGUGAUGGCCAGCACAGGUGUGACACAGUGGUGGGGUGAUGGUGAUGGACAACACAGGUGUGACACAGUGGUGGGGUGAUGGUGAUGGCCAGCACAGGUGUGACACAGUGGUGGGGUGAUGGUGAUGGCCAGCACAGGUGUGACACAGUGGUGGGGUGAUGGUUUAUAUGACAGUAUUUGCUACAAUUACAUUUCAAGUAUAAUAAAACUUUUAUUUAUUUCCAUAACUUGUGAUGUCUAAUUUACUAGUUUCAUUUGUUUAAAAUACACACACACACACACACACACACACAUUUGGUCCCAGCCUAUAGUCUGUUUCAGUAGGAUAUUACAGGCAGCCACACCCCCUCAUGUACUUCAUUUCUGACUGGCCAAGUGGCAGCCAAUCACUGCGCUGGAAAGGUUAAUUAAGUUUGUUUGGCCAGGGAAGCUUGCUCUGCGCUCACACUGCUUCAUAGUGCUAUGGGAUCCAUCAAACAUUAACUUAACGCAAUUUCACUAUUGAACAUGUAUAGUGCCUCAAGGAUUAUGGUGAUACCCCCCCAAAAAUAGUCAUAAGUACACUGUCAGCUUGAAUACAAACAGAAACAUAAAGUGGCUUUUAUCAUAUAUAAAAAAAAAUCUCCAUUCAUCACGUGACAUCUACGAGAAAAAAUAAUGUGUCAAUUUGUGUUAUAGAAUGAAUGUUAUAGAUAAUGACUCAAGGAUGGUAAUCCUACUAAGAAAACACAGAUAGGCCUUGUAGUAUUCCAGAUAUCAUUAAACUAAAGACAUGGUGCUGGGGUUGGU